rnacentral:lncRNA from 1 species
CUGCCUUGGCCUCCCAAAGUGCUGGGAUUACAGGUGUGAGCCACUGCACUUGGCCCACCAUUAUGAUUUGAUGUAUUUCUUCAAGUUUAUUUAAACAUAGGUCUAAGUAUAUUUUCCUAUUUUUUUAAGUUACGAUACAUUUUUACAUGUAAUUAUAUAAUUUUCAGAACCACAAUUUGAUUCAUAACAACUACCUAGUAAAUGUACAUUAACAUUAAAUUUAAGUGUACUGUUUCCAAUGUUUCCACUAUUUUCUACCAACUAGUCAAUCAUUUAUUUCUUUAUUCAAUUUCACCAAUAUGUUUUAAGCACUCUGAACUAAUAUCAUAAAUGCUGGUCAAAAGGCAUAUAUCUUGCAUUUGUAUUAUUUGCUUAAGCCAAUUCCCAGACAUGAAAUUACUAGCAUAAAAGUAUAAACAUUUUUAAGACUCCUGAUACAUGUUAGAAGAUUAUUUUUUAAAAGGGUUAUAAUGAAAUCAUAAUGCUUCUAGGACAACAAUGUCACUCAAGUCAGAAAUCUAGGGUUCCUCUAAGACUGGCUGCUUUUCCUUGAAGAAGUUACCAAUCUUAUCAAUUCUGGCUGAUCAAUUUUUUUCUAUAGGUCAUCAGAACUAAAAUAAAAUCUAAUUAGGCUUCCUCUGAUUAAAAUUGUUGAAAGGCUUGCUACAUUAUUUUAGGAUAGAGUUCAAUUUUUUUUAACUCAUCCAUAACUUCUGCCUAACUAGUCUACUUCACUUUCCACAAAUCCCACACCCCAUCCUUCAGCCUGGUCCUAAACUGCUAAGUCUCAGGCCCCGCUUUCCCAUCUCUGUACUUUCCUCAAGCCAUUUCCUCUUUCCUAGACUCUCCCUCCUUCUCUUUGGCUGGUACAAUCCUACAUGUAACUCUGUAAAAACUUUCUGGUAACUUCAACUUGCCCCCAAGGAAAGAGAUUAGGUCUUUCCUUCCUUUUGAUUUUAUAAUACAUUAAUUUAUUACCACCUCUAGGCCAUCUAGUAUACUGGCUAAGAGUUCAAACUCUAACGUUGAAGUGCCUGUGUUCAAACUACCUUGUUACAGUCUGUGUACAAGUUAAAUAAUUUUGCAAAGCCUCAGUUUUUCCACUGACAAAAAAGAAUUGCUAAUUAUCUCUGUCACAGGGUUUUAUUGAGAUGGUCCUUAUUACACACUUGAAAUGUUGCUAGCAGGCUUGUCACAUUUGUUUCUUUCCUCAUAAACACAGUUUCUUUGAGAGCAGGGACCACAUCCUAACAAUUGUCCUUGCAUUCCCAGUGCCUACUUUGGUGCUUGGCACCCUGGAGGUACAGGAGCUACAUCUGCUGAAUGAACAGCACUGAGUAAGGACUGGUUUCUGCACUCCAGUUUGCAAUCUCACAAAGACGCCAGACAUACCAAAACAGCUUUCUACAUGGAGUGCUAUGGACACACUGGUGGUUGACAAUAAUAAGAACUUUUUGAAGGCAAUGUCAUUCCUGCCUCUCCAGACCUCAGACAGCUGUUACUCACUGUUUAUCCUUCAUCACGCCAUAGGCUACACUCCUAACACCAGCCAGCUGGCGAAUAUAUGACCUGUUUGUACAUGACAACCAUGACCAUCAUUACUCCAGAAAAGAAAACAAUUAAGCCACACAAUCAGCAAUACCUAAAGUGAGUCAACUGAAUUUCUGUGAGUCUGACUCUGACAACCUAUGGGACUUAUGCCAAAGAGGGGUUAUUCUCACUGGCUUUGGGCCAGUUUCUGCUGCUUUGAAUCCCUCCCUAUAACUUGGAUGAUUGACAAAUGUUGUGCCUCUUCCCAGAAUAUCAUUCUUCAGUCUUUUCAUAAGAAUGACUAGGACAAGAACCAUAGUGUCCUAUUUCUCAGAAGUUUCUGACCCUAUGCAUUGGGUGACAUCUCUACCACCAAAAAAUACCAACAGAGUACAUAGGAGCUAUGAACUAUCUAAGACAUACGGGCAAAGACAAGAAUACAUGCUAGUCAGCCUGAUGCUGCAAUUUAUACUCCUGAGCAUUUUGUUUCCUUAUCCCUGAAGUGUGGAUAUAAUACCUGUUCUCUGGGCAGCUGUGAGGAUAUGUGAGCUAAUUUAUGAAAAUGUAGAGUACAGUGCUUGGCACAUAGCUAAAACUCAGUAAGUGGCAGCUUAUAGAUAUCAUUAUUGGUGAAGAAACAAGAUGAAUUAUAUUGUACAUGUAUUUAUGUAAACCAAGGAAGGAUAAAAAAUAUUAAUGAUUUUAAAACAAUCUUUGGGGAAAUGACAGACUUCAAGGUAAUUUAAAACCCAUAGAGAUAACCUAACAUAUUCAAAUGCCACCAUUUGAUGGUAUACCUCCAAACUACA